rnacentral:tRNA from 1 species
GCCUUCGUGGUGUAGUGGUCAGCACGCUCGACGCGUAACCGAGAGUUCUGUGGUUCGAUUCCCGGCGAAGGCG